rnacentral:rRNA from 1 species
UACGAAGGGGGCUAGCGUUGCUCGGAAUCACUGGGCGUAAAGCGCACGUAGGCGGCUCUUUAAGUCAGGGGUGAAAUCCUGGAGCUCAACUCCAGAACUGCCUUCGAUACUGGCGAUCUCGAGUUCGGGAGAGGUGAGUGGAACUGCGAGUGUAGAGGUGAAAUUCGUAGAUAUUCGCAAGAACACCAGUGGCGAAGGCGGCGAUCUGGGCUGAUACUGACGCUGAGGUGCGAAAGCGUGGGGAGCAAACAGG